CCUACGGGUGGCUGCAGUGAGGAAUAUUGGUCAAUGGGCGCGAGCCUGAACCAGCCAAGUCGCGUGAGGGAUGAAGGUUCUAUGGAUCGUCAACCUCUUUUAUAAGGGAAUAAAGUGUGGGACGUGUCCUAUUUUGUAUGUACCUUAUGAAUAAGGAUCGGCUAACUACGUGCCAGCAGCCGCGGUAAUACGGAGGAUCCGAGCGUUAUCCGGAUUUAUUGGGUUUAAAGGGUGCGUAGGCGGCCUUUUAAGUCAGCGGUGAAAGUCUGUGGCUCAACCAUAGAAUUGCCGUUGAAACUGGGGGGCUGGAGUGUGUUAGAGGCAGGCGGAAUGCGUGGUGUAGCGGUGAAAUGCGUAGAUAUCACGCAGAACCCCGAUUGCGAAGGCAGCCUGCCAAGCCAUGACUGACGCUGAUGCACGAAAGCGUGGGGAUCAAACAGGAUUAGAUACCCGGGUAGUC
rnacentral:rRNA from 1 species